rnacentral:rRNA from 1 species
UAAACGCUGGCGGCGUGCCUAAUACAUGCAAGUCGAUCGCUGGACUUCCAGCUUGCUGGAAUGAAGGAGAGGCGAACGGGUGAGUAAUACAUAAGCAACCUGCCCACGAAGACUGGGAUAAUUCCUGGAAACGGGGACUAAUACCGGAUAGGUAGUGUGAUCGCAUGAUCGCACUAUUAAAGGUUCAAGACACUGGUGGAUGGGCUUAUGGCGCAUUAGCUGGUUGGUGAGGUAACGGCCCACCAAGGCGAUGAUGCGUAGCCGGCCUGAGAGGGUGAACGGCCACAUUGGGACUGAGACACGGCCCAGACUCCUACGGGAGGCAGCAGUAGGGAAUUUUCGGCAAUGGGCGCAAGCCUGACCGAGCAACGCCGCGUGAGUGAAGAACCGGCCUUCGGGUUGUAAAGCUCUGUUGUAAGGGAAGAAUUGGCAUGAGAGAAUCGUGCAGUGACGGUACCUUACCAGAAAGCCACGGCUAACUACGUGCCAGCAGCUGC